AUGUACCACGGGCCUGCCUCGCGUCUUCUGCCUUCCCCACCGCAGCAGGACACAGAGGGGCGGGAAAGGGGAUCCUCUGAACACUGGCGAGGAACACCUCUAGGAACAGAAUCGCCGGAUGGGUGGGGUCGCCUGGAGGUAGCUGGCUCCACCCGGCCGCGGGCGAGUCCGGAACACAGUUACCUGCCCCUGUUGCCCACCGGAACGCAAAGGCUGUGUCUCGGCGGCGUUUCCUAGGGUCUCGGCGUUUCUACCUCUUCGUCCCCUUUCCUGCCACCCUUUGUCCUCUGGAAGCCCGGAGACAUCAGCGGCUGCAAUUUUGCUACUCGCUGCUCGGCAUGGAACGGUCAGGACAAAAAAUAAUAUCCAAAGAUAUUUUGGCACUAACGGCGCAAUCUGUAGCAAGGAAGUUGAGUGGUCUGGACUGUUGUGACUUCCAAGGAGACUUCAGAGAACCAAGACAGUGUAAAGGAAAACAGGAAAAAAGACUUGUUAGACAUUAUUAAGGGCUCAAAAGUUGAAUCGAGCACAGUAAAUGUACAAACAACAAAGCCACCCAGCAGAAGUCCACUUAAAAGCUACAACUGGCGGGCCUCAAAGAGCUGCAGAACAUGCCCCAAAGAAGAGAAAUGAGCCCCUGAGUCGUGAGUUGGUGGCAGCUGCAUCUGCUGCCCUCUUUUGACAAACAAGCCAGAGCUGCUCAGGCAGCUCCGUAGCAUGAGGAAGAGUCGGGCACAGAGAGAUGGAGAAAGACCUAAAAUUAGUUUCAGUAACAAAAUAUCAGAUACGAAAAUUGCCAGAUGUGCUACAACUAGAGUUAAUAUUAAGACCAGAGCAUCAGAUUCAGUUUGACCAAGUCUUUGACAAUUAUCCUGACCAGGAGAAGACCGCUGAUCUUAGAAACAGACACAUCACCUUCACUUUGGGAUAUGGAAUUUGAUAAGCAGUUAGCCACAGAAUAUGAACAACCCCUUUAAAAUGAGAUUGCAGUGCUGAUCCAGUGGACAAAAGAGGGGAAACUGAGAGUUCCCGAUUGACAAUGAAGCAGAAUACAAGCGACAGUAGCAGAGGGAGGAAGUAACUCACACCAGGAAGAACAAACAGCUGCUGGAAUACGCUUGUGGUUUAGAGCUUCUUUUAAAAAUCCUGUCAGCUGCAAAGAAAGGAAGGACUAAUAUUUUCCACGAUGUCAGUAACAUCUUUAUGAAGAUGCUCCUUUUGAAUGUGGUACAGAAAGUUGGAAAACACUUAGGCAUAGUAUCUGGCAUAGUGCCCCUUAGGGAGCACUUCAUAUACAGACGGUCUGGGGCUUAGGUUGGUUUGACUUAAAAUUUUUUGACUUUAUGAUGGUUCCAAAGGUGAUGCACAUUCAGAAGAAAGCGAACUUUGAGUCCCCAUACAACUAUCCUGUUUUUCAUGUUUAGGACGUUGUUCCCAUAAAUUACAUGAGGUAUUCAACCCUCUAUAAUAAAAAAUAAUUUAUGUUAGAUGAUUUUGCUCAAAUGUAGAUUAGUGUAAGUCUUCUGAGUACGUUUAAGGUAGGUUAGUCUAAGCUCUGAUGCUCAGUAGGUUAGGUGUAUUGAAGGCAUUUUGACUUACAAUAAUUUCCCCUCCCAGUAAACCCAUUGUAAGUCGAGAAGCACCUGUAGAGGUCUACUUUUACCAGUUUCAACUGUGACAAAUUUAAUGGAACCUGUAUUGCUUUUAAAUUGGAGAGCAGCAGCAGGUCUGAAAUAAAUACUGCAGUUAGCUUUGUGUUCUUCACUAUUUAUUGAACAGUUCAGAGGGCAAGGAAGCAAAGAGAAGCACUCUUGAGUGUGUCUUUGCUUGCCAGCUCCUGGCCUUGCUUUAUUUUUCUCUCGUUUUUUCUGUUCUCUUCUCUUUUUGACCCUAUCUCAAAAAAUAAAUAAAUAAAUAAAUAAAUAAAUAAAUAAAAAUAUCCCUUGGGAAUACGUAGUAUUUGUAUAUGGAAAACCUCAAUGCCUUUCUUGCUACCUGUAGGAUAAAGUCCAGAAUCCUUAGCUUAACGUUCAAAUUUCUCCCAUCAAACUGGGUUCCUAGGCCAACUAUUGCAGAGUUAAUGUUGUUCUUGUUUUUUUGUUUGUUUGUUUUGAGAUAGUGUCUUGCUCUGUUACCCAGUCUAGAGUGCAGUGGCACAA